AAAUGCCAAGGAUAUACGAUAAUAUUUGGAAUGAUGAUUAUAACACAUAUAAAAUCGAACAAAAUAAUUUUACAAAGGACCAAUAUGAAAUUACACCAAGUAGUAAUAAAAUUAGUGACAAACAAAUAGAUUUUACGUUAAGUUUAAAACAUGCUCAAUACGCUGUAAAUGCGCUAAUGUUUGAAGAUCUUAAGACCGCAACACACGAAUUAAAAACUGCCUUGAGUUACUUAGGUGAGUGAGUAGGGUUUUCAGCUAUUAUGUAUAACUUAAUAUAAUACCACUGCUAUGUACGCAUUGGGUAUAUAUUUCAUUGGCUUAAAAAAAAAAAAAAAAAAAAAAAAAAAAAAAAAAAACAUUUAUAUAAAUAUGUACCAUUCAUGGUGUGCUUGUGGUUACUCAACUAGUAAUAAAACUUUUUUUUUAUUCA
rnacentral:lncRNA from 1 species